rnacentral:rRNA from 1 species
AGUGAACGCUGGCGGUAGGCCUAACACAUGCAAGUCGAACGGCAGCACAGUAAGAGCUUGCUCUUACGGGUGGCGAGUGGCGGACGGGUGAGGAAUACAUCGGAAUCUACUUUUUCGUGGGGGAUAACGUAGGGAAACUUACGCUAAUACCGCAUACGACCUACGGGUGAAAGCAGGGGAUCUUCGGACCUUGCGCGAUUGAAUGAGCCGAUGUCUGAUUAGCUAGUUGGCGGGGUAAAGGCCCACCAAGGCGACGAUCCGUAGCUGGUCUGAGAGGAUGAUCAGCCACACUGGAACUGAGACACGGUCCAGACUCCUACGGGAGGCAGCAGUGGGGAAUAUUGGACAAUGGGCGCAAGCCUGAUCCAGCCAUACCGCGUGGGUGAAGAAGGCCUUCGGGUUGUAAAGCCCUUUUGUUGGGAAAGAAAAGCAGCAGGUUAAUACCCCGCUGUUCUGACGGUACCCAAAGAAUAAGCACCGGCUAACUUCGUG